AGCUCAAAUGGUAGAGUGCUCGCUUUGCAUGCGAGAGGUACGGGGUUCGAUACCCUG
rnacentral:tRNA from 1 species